rnacentral:rRNA from 1 species
UCUUGCACAAUGGGGGAAACCCUGNNGCAGCGACGCCGCGUGAGCGAUGAAGCCCUUCGGGGUGUAAAGCUCUUUCGUCAGGGAAGAUGAUGACGGUACCUGGAGAAGCAGCUGCGGCUAACUACGUGCCAGCAGCCGCGGUAAUACUGUAGGCAGCGAGCGUUGUUCGGAGUUACNUGGGCGUAAAGGGUGUGUAGGCGGUUGUUUAAGUUUGGUGUGAAAUCUCCCGGCUCAACUGGGAGGGAGCGCCGAAUACUGAAUGACUUGGAGUACGGGAGAGGAAAGUGGAAUUCCUGGUGUAGCGGUGAAAUGCGUAGAUAUCAGGAGGAACACCGGUGGUGUAGACGGNUUUNUGGACCGUAACUGACGCUGAGACACGAAAGCGUGGGUAGCAAACAGGAUUANAUACCCUGGUAGUCCACGCCCUAAACGAUGCAUAUUUGGUGUGGGCAGUUCAUUCUGUCCGUGCCGGAGCUAACGCGUUAAAUAUGCCGCCUGGGGAGUACAGUCGCAAGGCUGAAACUCAAAAGAAUUGACGGA